rnacentral:rRNA from 1 species
AUUGAACGCUGGCGGCAUGCCUAACACAUGCAAGUCGAACGGGGGUAGGGGCAACUCUACUUCAGUGGCGGACGGGUGAGGAAUGCGUCGGAAUCUACCCUAUGGUGGGGGAUAACACAGGGAAACUUGUGCUAAUACCGCAUGAUGUCGAGAGACCAAAGCAGGGGACCGCAAGGCCUUGCGCGAUAGGAUGAGCCGACGCCCGAUUAGCUAGUUGGUAGGGUAAAGGCCUACCAAGGCGACGAUCGGUAGCUGGUCUGAGAGGAUGAUCAGCCACACUGGGACUGAGACACGGCCCAGACUCCUACGGGAGGCAGCAGUGGGGAAUAUUGGACAAUGGGCGCAAGCCUGAUCCAGCAAUGCCGCGCGUGUGAAGAAGGCCUGCGGGUUGUAAAGCACUUUUGUUCGGGAAGAAAUCAUGUCGGUUAAUACCCGAUGUGGAUGACGGUACCGAAAGAAUAAGCACCGGCUAACUUCGUGCCAGCAGCCG